CCCUGGAGGACUAGUGGUUAGGCCACAGUGCUCUCACCGCUGUGGCGUGGGUUCAACCCCAGCCACUGGGGU